rnacentral:rRNA from 1 species
UACGUAGGGUGCGAGCGUUGCCCGGAUUUAUUGGGCGUAAAGAGCGUGUAGGCGGCCUGAAAGGUCAGCUGUGAAAACUCGAGGCUCAACCUCGAGACGUCGGUUGAAACCAUCUGGCUAGAGUCCGGAAGAGGAGUGUGGAAUUCCCGGUGUAGCGGUGAAAUGCGCAGAUAUCGGGAAGAACACCCGUGGCGAAGGCGGCACUCUGGGACGGUACUGACGCUGAGACGCGAAAGCGUGGGGAGCGAACAGG